rnacentral:rRNA from 1 species
UACGUAGGGCGCAAGCGUUGUCCGGAAUUAUUGGGCGUAAAGAGCUCGUAGGCGGUUCGUUAUGUCGGAUGUGAAAGCCCUUGGCUUAACCGAGGAAGUGCAUCCGAAACUGGCGAGCUAGAGUACUAAAGAGGAUCGCGGAAUUCCCGGUGUAGAGGUGAAAUUCGUAGAUAUCGGGAGGAACACCGGUGGCGAAGGCGGCGAUCUGGGUAGAUACUGACGCUGAGGUGCGAAAGCGUGGGGAGCAAACAGG